UUAAGUUCAGCGGGUAGUCUUACCUGAUUUGAGGUCAAAAUUGUCAAAAGUUGUCCAGAGGACGGUUAGAAGCAGGUCUAUAUAGUCUUCCAAAUCCACGGCGUAGAUAAUUAUCACACCAAUAGAUUAGGGGACUAACCCACUAAUACGUUUUAGAGGAGCAGACCACAUAAAUGCGGACCUGCAACCCCCACAUCCAA
rnacentral:misc_RNA from 1 species